UCCUGGAUAGCUCACUUGGUUAGAACAUGGUGGUGAUAAUGCCAAGGUUGCAGGUUCAAUCCAGUUACAUAUUCCUGCACUGCAGGGG